CUGACAGCGGGCGUGGUCACUCUGACACGGGGCGUGGCCUAUGCCGGCGGUGGGCGUGUCCUGCGCGUCCGGCGCGCCGGGCGGCGGCGGGAAGAUGGCGGCGAUCGUGCGCGGCCCGCGGGGGGGGCAGCCGGGUCGGCGCUGACGGGACGGAGCUGCCGUGACCUUGACCCCAGUGCAGCCCUGUGUGCCACCAGCAUGGGGUGAGUGUCCCCGUGGUGAGCGC